rnacentral:lncRNA from 1 species
UGGGUGCAGUGGCUCAUGCCUGUAUUCCCAGCACUUUGGGAGGCCAAGGCAAAUGGAUCACGACGUCAGGAGAUCAAGACCAUCUGGCCAACAUGCUGAAACCCCAUCUCUACUAAAUAUACAAAAAUUAGCUGGGCGUGGAGGCGCACGCCUGUAAUCCCAGCUACUGUAAUCCCAGCUACUUGGGAGGCUGAGGCAGGAGAAUUGCCUCAAUUCGCGGUGGAGGUUGCAGUGAGCCGAGGUUGCACCACUGCAGUCCAGCCUGGCGACAGAGCAAGACUCCGUCUCAAAAAAAAAAAAGAAAAAAAAAAACUUUAGGCUGGGUGUGGUGGCUCACGCCUGUAAUCCCAGCACUUUGGGAGGCUGAGGCGGGUGGCUCUCUUGAAGUCAGGAGUUUGAGACCAGCCUGGCCAACACGGUGAAACCGUCUUUACUAAAAAUACAAAAAUUAGUCAGGCAUGGUGGCGCACGUGUGCCAGUAAUCCCAGCUACUUGGGAGGCUGAGGCAUGAGAAUCGCUUGAACCCUGGAGAUGGAGGUUGCAGUGAGCAGAGAUCGCACCACUGCACUCCAGCCUGGGCAAGAGUGAGACUAUGUCUCAAAAAAAAAAAAAAAAAAAAAAAAAAAAAUUAAAAUGUUGCUGGUAUUACAUCAAACCUACUCUGGAUAAAUUUUCCAGUAGGGCAUGUGAAAUUGCUUUGGCAAAACCAAAACAGGUUAUCAAUACACCAAGGACAUUAGUAGUUUUAAUGCAACUACAGUAUUGAGUACUUUUUUAAUGGGAGAAAAAUUCUAGCAGAACCUGCUACUCCAGGCGCAUUAGGUAGUUUUAGGUAACUGUAGUAUUAAAGAAGAGUUUUAUUGGAAGAAAAACCACUGUCAGAGCUUGCUGCUCCAGACCACUCUUUUUUUUUUUUUUUUUUAAAUAGAAGAGACUGGUAAAAAUGAUGCAGGGGCUGAAUGAAAGCCAGCUCUGCUCCAGUGGUUUUCUGAGUUGAGCAUGCAUCAGUUACCUGAAAGGCUUGUUAAAACAUCGCUAGGCUCCACCCUGUCUAUUCAAUAAGUUUGUUGUGGGACAUAAGAAGUUGCAUUUUAUUAAGUUCCCCGGUGAUGCUGCUGUUCUACUAUAGGAACCACACUUGAAGAACUAGUUCUACAAUUCAGCUCUAUGUUGUUGCUAAAAUAAAAUAAAAUAAAAAGUCAACGAAGAUUUACAAAGAGCUGCUGAAAAAUGGAGUAACAGUGUAUGGGACUUCAUAUCAGUUCUCUUUAUUGUGAUUGUUAGUUUGAUCCCUCUUGUUCUUUUGUUGUAAACAUUUUCUAUAAUUAGGAAAUGCCAUUUAAGAGUGAGAGACGUAUAUAUCUGUGAGCCAUUGUGUUUGGUGUUUUACAAGAACUUUACCAUACUUGUGUGUAUUCCAUUCUGUACAGUUUAAAAAUGAUUCACGAUUUGCAGGCUUUUUAUCAGAUCACAAAAAAAAUCAGCCUUAAGCAUUUGCUUGGUAAGAUUUCUUAAGAUUAGGUUUAUAAUACAACCAUCUAUAAUGUAUCUCUUGUUUGAGCUUGUGGGCCAUACAGUUCAUUAACUAGAUGAAUACAUUGUGGACAGCAUCCUCGCUACCCUUCUCUAAUCACAAAGAACCACGAUGCACUGGAAUGUUUUUCUCUGGAAUCCUCUUUCUACUCUUGUAUUAAAAAUUUUCCCCACUUAAUGAUUAUGUUCAAAAUAAACUACAUCAUUACUU